rnacentral:misc_RNA from 1 species
GAUGAAGAACGUAGCGAAAUGCGAUAAGUAAUGUGAAUUGCAGAAUUCAGUGAAUCAUCGAAUCUUUGAACGCACAUUGCGCCCGCCAGUAUUCUGGCGGGCAUGCCUGUCUGAGCGUCAUUUCAACCCUCAUGCCCCUAGGGCGUGGUGUUGGGGAUCGGCCAAAGCCCGCGAGGGACGGCCGGCCCCUAAAUCUAGUGGCGGACCCGUCGUGGCCUCCUCUGCGAAGUAGUGAUAUUCCGCAUCGGAUAGCGACGAGCCCCUGCCGUUAAACCCCCAACUUUCCAAGGUUGACCUCAGAUCAGGUAGGAAUACCCGCUGAACUUAAGCAUAUCAAUAAGCGGAGGA